rnacentral:rRNA from 1 species
UCCCCCSCCCCCGAAGCAGCACCCCUUAUCCUUUGUUGCCASCACGUAAUGGUGGGAACUCAAAGGAGAUUGCCGGUGAUAAACCGGAGGAAGGUGGGGAUGACGUCAAGUCAUCAUGGCCCUUACGAGUAGGGCUACACACGUGCUACAAUGGCAGAUACAAAGAGAAGCGACCUCGCGAGAGCAAGCGGAACUCAUAAAGUCUGUCGUAGUCCGGAUUGGAGUCUGCAACUCGACUCCAUGAAGUCGGAAUCGCUAGUAAUCGUAAAUCAAAAUGCUACGGUGAAUACGUUCCCGGGCCUUGUACACCCCGCCCGAAAA